UGCCCGCCCCCUAUAAAACGCCAUGUGCCCCUUUGUUUGCCGCCAUCUUGUCCACGUGGCACUAGGGAACGCUCUCUGCUCUCCACCACAGCACCACGCGGCAAUAAACCUUCUCCAGCCGACCGCAAGGACAGGGUGUGCCUCCUUCGCCUCUUUACCUCCUCCCAGUGUUGGUUACACAACGCGGUAGCCCACGCGGAGGCUCAGCGCUAGAGCCUCCGAACCAGCGGCAGCUCCAGACUCCCGGGUGAUACGCUGAGCCUAGCCGAGCUCCCCGAGCCGCCCGGGACUGGGAAAAAGAACGCAAUGCUGCAACCCUGUCCCAUUUUGGCUGAAGAUCACCAGUGUAUUACAGCAGGUUUGAUAGUUAUGCUGCUGGUAGGAUCCAAGGAUGGAAAGCUGAAAAUACAGCUGGACGCAUGAAAACACAACUACUGGGAUUACUGUAGAAUCUGGUGACUUGUCCAUUAUUUCUGGUCUCUAAACUAAAGCUCUUUCUGCAGAGAAAUAUGUGUUUUAUUCCUGCUAGCAAAGCAUGCUCAUCAGCUGCAGGAGUGGGAGCUGCAUUCUUCUCUGCAAAAUGCACCAUCAUCAAAAUCAUCCAAUAACUCCAAGAUGAAGAAUCUUUGCUACUGGAUGUGAUAAAUGAGAAAGAAAGAAACUGACUGAACUGACUGAGUUUUGGACUAUGCUAGUACUGAUUAUAGUUUUAAACAGCAGGGAAAAUCUGA